rnacentral:lncRNA from 1 species
UCCCCGCCCCCGCUGUCCCCAUCGCUGCCCGGGCUCUUCGCUUUUUUUUUCUUUCUUCCUUUUUUUGACGUCCCCGUGAUGUCCCCACGGCGAUUUCGGUCCCCACGACGUCCCCACGCCGCCCGCGACGGCCCCGUGACGCCCGUGGUACCCGCGACGUCCCCGUGUCCCCAAAUUGUCCCCGUGUCCCCCCACCCCGUGUUUUCAUGUCUCUGUGGCCCUACGUUGUCCCCGUGUCCCCAAUUUGUCCCCAUCUCCUCCGUGUCCCCGUGUCUUGGUGUCCCCUCGUUGUCCCCGUGUCCCCUCGGUGUCCCCGUGUCCCUCCCGUAUCUCGGUGUCCCCAUGGUGUCCCCAUGUCUUGGUGUCCCCGUGUCCCACCUUGUCCCCAUGUCCCCUCGUUGUCCCCACCUUGUCCCCGUGUCCCCUCGAUCUCCCCACGUCUUGGUGUCCC